UAACACGUAGGGAACCUGCCCGCGCACCGGGAAUACGCUCUGGAAACGGANAACAAAUCCCGAUGUACAGGAAGGAGGCAUCUUCUUUCUGUGAAACAUCCUUUAGGGGAUGGGGCGCGGAUGGACCUGCGGUGCAUUAGUUUGUUGGCGGGGUAAAGGCCCACCAAGACGAUGAUGCAUAGCCGGCCUGAGAGGGCGGACGGCCACAUUGGGACUGAGACACGGCCCAGACUCCUGCGGGAGGCAGCAGUAGGGAAUUUUCGUCAAUGGGCGCAAGCCUGAACGAGCGAUGCCGCGUGAGUGAAGAAGGCCUUCGGGUCGUAAAGCUCUGUUGCGGGGGAAAAAAGGCAGCAUCAGGAAAUGGGUGCUGACUGAUGGUGCCCCGCCAGAAAGUCACGGCUAACUACGUGCCAGCAGCCGCGGUAAUACGUAGGUGGCGAGCGUUAUCCGGAAUGAUUGGGCGUAAAGGGUGCGCAGGCGGUCCUGCAAGUCUGGAGUGAAACGCAUGAGCUCAACUCAUGCAUGGCUUUGGAAACUGGAGGACUGGAGAGCAGGAGAGGGCGGUGGAACUCCAUGUGUAGCGGUAAAAUGCGUAGAUAUAUGGAAGAACACCAGUGGCGAAGGCGGCCGCCUGGCCUGUUGCUGACGCUGAGGCACGAAAGCGUGGGGAGCAAAUAGGAUUAGAUACCCUAGUAGU
rnacentral:rRNA from 1 species